rnacentral:rRNA from 1 species
GAUGAACGCUGGCGGCGUGCUUAACACAUGCAAGUCGAACGAUGAACCUCACUUGUGGGGGGAUUAGUGGCGCACGGGUGAGUAACACGUGAGUAACCUGCCCUUGACUCUGGGAUAAGCCUGGGAAACCGGGUCUAAUACUGGAUACGACCUUCUGGCGCAUGCCAUGUUGGUGGAAAGCUUUUGUGGUUUUGGAUGGACUCGCGGCCUAUCAGCUUGUUGGUGGGGUAAUGGCCUACCAAGGCGACGACGGGUAGCCGGCCUGAGAGGGUGACCGGCCAGACUGGCGCUGAGGAACGGUACGGGCUGCAGCAGGGGGCAGCAGUGGAGAAUGUUGGAAAAUGGGAGCAAGCCUGAUGCAGCGACGCAAGAUGGGGGAUGGAGGCUUUCGGGCUGUAAGCCUGUAUCAAUAGGGGAGAAGCCGGCUUUUGGGUUGGUGACGGUACCUGCAGAAGAAGCGCCGGCUAACUACGUG